GAGGCAUUUAUGCAAUUCAUUGAUCAUAAUUGUAUUACAUUUGAAAACAUUUCAUCAUUAAGUUACAUCAUUAAUCUACAUGCAUUAACCAAUACUGAUGUUGUGCAUGAGUGUUGUGGUCAUUGAGACCCUAUAUAGUCUAAAUCACUAGUGAAGCAGUUUCGAUUAAUCAGUUCAGGUGCAUACUAUAAAAAGUUUGACUUUCAUUUGUCCGUAAUUAUUCGAUUCCAGAAAACACACAGUCCGUCACAAAGCGACCUCUCUUAGCCGGAAUUCUUCCAAAUCGAUGCCGUAACCGUCCAGGAAAUACGGCUGCCAAAAAAGCUACCUUUGGCAUAAGCAUAAACUUUGGCGUUUGAGCUCCCUCGAGUCCAACUUAAAGUUGCGUAACCACUUCCCCUGUGUAUACGAUGAUGCAAAGAAACAUGAAAAGCUCCUUUCGGAACAUGGUAGUUGAAAGUUCGACCGUAUGUUCCCCAGCCGGUUCUAAGAUGUCCUGAGCCCAAAGUUAUACGAGCUAAGUACGUACGGGACGUUCCCGCCUCGAUAGUCGCUGCAAUGCAGAUCAACAAAAGCACGGCAAGGACUGAUUUGUGAGCCAUUUUCUUGAGAGCGCACCAAAUUGAAAAUUUGAAAUCGACUUGGUUAUUGAUUCUUCAAAUCUUCUGCACUGUUGAAAUCGCUGUUGUCAAUUUUGAAACUGGUCCAAUCCUACCGGUCUUUAUAUAAGCUUUCUCUUGCAGAUAUUGUGAAAAACAG